GGAAAUCUCAACAUACUGUCCGUCUUCUCCCAUUCGGGAGGCGGGCGCGGCAGACGAUGGGACUUUUUGCAUGCGAGAAAUUCGGAGAAGCCUCUACACUUUUGAAAAAGACUUGGAAACUUGUUUUUUUCUGCCGCGGUCACUCUUUUGCGAAGAGGAGGACGGGCCUGCCCGUGAGGGCUCGGCGUCCAUCGACGCCCGCAGUUGGCAUCAGAAAUUUCAGGGCUGCCUCGGGUCCCCUCUCUCUCUCUUGGGAGGGGGGUGGCUUGUUUGGUUGGUCUCCUAUGGGAAGCUGCUGCGUAGAUUGUGUGUUGACACUUGAGUGCGAUGCGUGGCGUGGCGGGUAGCCAUGAUUCGAUUCCGAUUAUUCUUCC
rnacentral:RNase_P_RNA from 2 species